rnacentral:misc_RNA from 1 species
CCCCUCUAUAAAAUAACUCUGUAACUCCACUUCAAGACCACAAGGAGCCUGCAAACUCAAAAUGGAGGUUGUUCCAAUUUCUUCCGUUCUUUCAUUACUCCUCAUCCUUGUUCUCUUGCCUUCCUCUAUACUUUCAUUUCCAAUUCGUGAUAAUUUUCUCCAAUGUCUCACUGCCAAUUCUAAAACUGUCAUUCCUUUCCCCACUUGCUUUUACAGUCCAGACAAUUCUUCUUUCUCUUCCAUUUUACAGUCUUCCGCUCAAAAUCUCAGGUACUUGUUGCCUUCCGUACCAAAGCCUGAAUUUAUCUUCACACCCUUUCAUGAAACCCACAUCCAAGCUGCUGUUAUCUGCUCAAAAAAGCUGGGAAUUAAUCUCAGAGUCCGAAGUGGAGGCCAUGACUAUGAGGGUCUCUCUUACGCUUCUGAAAUUGAAACACCUUUUAUCGUUGUAGACCUUUCAAAGCUUCGUUCUAUUAAUGUUGAUAUUGAAGAUAACAGCGCAUGGGUUCAGGCUGGUGCCACAAUUGGUGAAGCUUACUAUAGAAUUGCUGAAAAAAGCAAUAUUCAUGGCUUCCCGGCUGGUCUUUGCUCCAGUUUAGGGAUUGGUGGGCACAUUACAGGGGGUGCUUAUGGUUCCAUGAUGAGAAAGUACGGCCUUGGUGCUGAUAAUGUCAUCGAUGCUUGUAUAGUCGAUGCCAAUGGCAACGUUCUUGAUCGACAAGCCAUGGGAGAAGAUCUUUUUUGGGCUAUUAGAGGAGGUGGAGGAGCUAGUUUUGGAAUCAUUGUUUCUUGGAAACUAAAAUUGGUUCCGGUGCCAGCAACUGUGACAGUUUUUACAGUUACUAAAACCUUGGAAGAAGGUGCCACUAAAAUCCUUUACCGGUGGCAGCAAGUGGCAGAUAAACUCGAUGAGGAUCUCUUCAUCAGAGUCAUCAUACAACCGGAUACAAUCGGUAACACUACUGCGAGAACUGUAAAA